GACGAACGCUGGCGGCACGCUUAACACAUGCAAGUCGAACGAGAGAAGAGAAGCUUGCUUUUCUGAUCUAGUGGCGGACGGGUGAGUAACACGUGAGCAAUCUGCCUUUCAGAGGGGGAUACCGAUUGGAAACGAUCGUUAAUACCGCAUAAUAUAAUUGAACCGCAUGAUUUGAUUAUCAAAGAUUUAUCGCUGAAAGAUGAGCUCGCGUCUGAUUAGCUAGUUGGUAAGGUAACGGCUUACCAAGGCGACGAUCAGUAGCCGGACUGAGAGGUUGAUCGGCCACAUUGGGACUGAGACACGGCCCAGACUCCUACGGGAGGCAGCAGUGGGGAAUAUUGCACAAUGGAGGAAACUCUGAUGCAGCGAUGCCGCGUGAGGGAAGAAGGUUUUAGGAUUGUAAACCUCUGUCUUCAGGGACGAAAAAAGACGGUACCUGAGGAGGAAGCUCCGGCUAACUACGUGCCAGCAGCCGCGGUAAUACGUAGGGAGCGAGCGUUGUCCGGAAUUACUGGGUGUAAAGGGAGCGUAGGCGGGAUCGCAAGUCAGAUGUGAAAACUAUGGGCUUAACCCAUAAACUGCAUUUGAAACUGUGGUUCUUGAGUGAAGUAGAGGUAAGCGGAAUUCCUAGUGUAGCGGUGAAAUGCGUAGAUAUUAGGAGGAACAUCAGUGGCGAAGGCGGCUUACUGGGCUUUAACUGACGCUGAGGCUCGAAAGCGUGGGGAGCAAACAGGAUUAGAUACCCUGGUAGUCCACGCCGUAAACGAUGAUUACUAGGUGUGGGGGGACUGACCCCUUCCGUGCCGCAGCAAACGCAAUAAGUAAUCCACCUGGGGAGUACGACCGCAAGGUUGAAACUCAAAGGAAUUGACGGGGGCCCGCGCAAGCAGUGGAGUAUGUGGAUUAAUUCGAAGCAACGCGAAGAACCUUACCAGGUCUUGACAUCGUAUGCAUAGCUCAGAGAUGAGUGAAAUCUCUUCGGAGACAUAUAGACAGGUGGUGCAUGGUUGUCGUCAGCUCGUGUCGUGAGAUGUUGGGUUAAGUCCCGCAACGAGCGCGACCCUUACUGUUAGUUGCUACGCAAGAGCACUCUAGCAGGACUGCCGUUGACAAAACGGAGGAAGGUGGGGAUGACGUCAAAUCAUCAUGCCCCUUAUGACCUGGGCCUCACACGUACUACAAUGGCUGUCAACAGAGGGAAGCAAAGCCGCGAGGUGGAGCGAACCCCUAAAAGCAGUCUUAGUUCGGAUUGUAGGCUGCAACCCGCCUACAUGAAGUCGGAAUUGCUAGUAAUCGCAGAUCAGCAUGCUGCGGUGAAUACGUUCCCGGACCUUGUACACACCGCCCGUCACGCCAUGGGAGUCGGUAACACCCGAAGCCUGUAGUCUAACCGCAAGGAGGACGCAGUCGAAGGUGGGAUUGAUGACUGGGGUG
rnacentral:rRNA from 1 species